rnacentral:lncRNA from 1 species
GGGAAAAGUGCCUGAUACUUGAAACUGGAAAGAGGAAUGGGGAUCUCUGUUCUUUCUAAGUGCCCUUUGGUUUCUGUCACUGUCAGAAAGCCUUGCUGCUCUCAUCCACACCAGCUGUGGGCUCCCAGGGGUACAUUGCUAAGCUGGUGGAGUUCCAGAGUUCACAUUUUUGGCAUUGGCUAAAUCAGACAGUGUCCCUGCGUGUGGAUUCAUUGCCUCUGUGUACUGUAGGUCCCAGAUGAAGCUUGGCUGCCUGGUUUGAGGUGGAGUGCACUAUACUGACAGCAUUUGUUCCAACAGACCACAAAAGACCAUCUAUAAGAUAAGCACACAAAGAACCUGCACUCUCUUCUCCCCCUUCUUUUAACCCUUGCAUAACUAAAAAUCCUAUUUUCUUGCACACCAGUUAGACUGGGAAGCUGUCUGAGAGGAAGAAUAUCCUGCUGCCAGAUGCUCUUUUUUUUUUUUUUUUUUUCUUUCUUUUUUAUUCUAACACAGUUGUUUUUCUCUUCACUUGAUAAAGUUAAAAUAAACAGUCUCUAGGGUGAAUUACAGACGUCAAAAUUGGAUUGGCAUACAAACUGUAGAGCAGUUGGUGGUUGGGAGUCUGGGGAAAAAGAAACAGCAGGUUUUAGCUAGAGGGGACAACAGCUUUAUUUCCCUCUUGGUCCUUGACAACCAAGCAGAUGUCCUACGAUUAUUGUUUUACCUUCUAGUGAUAUAGUGCCUUUUCCUAUCCUCCCAGGUAUGCAACUGGCUCUCUUGCAGAUGUGCAGCCUUACAGGAUACCCAUUUCCAGUCCUAUGUAUGUAGGCACAACUGAUGGUCUUAAGAACAAGUUAUUUUCUGAUCAUCUUACACAGGCUUUUUCACACCUGUUUGCUUGCAAUCUUUGCAUCUGGGUUGAUGCCCUCCACUAUACACACAGGUAUUGUGACAGGAAUCUAGCUUAAUGAAGGGAAGGAAGCGUCUGAUUUCUUAGUCAAAUGGACAAGUGGUAAUAAAGCCUCAGCACCUCUUUGGAGAUGGGUCUGU